CCACUGCACCUGUCCUCAAUGUCCCCUUUCUUUCUGUUUAGUUUUACUGUUUCCUGGAGCUCUUCUGAGGCAGUCAGUGUCCAGGCAGGCAAGUGAGUUGUGGUGGGGUAGAGGGUGAGAGGACACUGUUAGACCACCUGGGUGUCACAGAAAGUUUGCUGCAGUCGAGAAGCCUGAAGGAAGGGUGGGGGCUGGGGUGGAGGAGUGUAUGGCGAAAGACAACAGUGGUGUGGUGGAGUCCACUGCCUAGGAAAGCACAGACGCACCUCCAGGCGACCCUGCAGACUGGGGUCGGGAAAAGGACAGGCUGAGAAGUCUAGAAAGGCAAAGAAGUUAACGAUGUUUGGCAGUCUGAGGUCUUAUCAGUGUGUUGGGGUCAGGUGGGGGCCGAGGCAACAAGCUCAGGCAGACGCCAGCCGGGGCUGGGACGGUGCAGGUGAGGAGGGGCUGCCUGGGGGACAGCCCGCCUCACUGACCCAACCUGGGACAAGAGGACACAGGGAGAAGACAAACGUCCCUUCAUCCUGAGAUUCACUUGGAAAUCCCCUGAACUUCCAACUCCUGGCUGAUGAAACGGAGCAAGUUGUCUCUGCCUUAUGGCCUCCAUCACCAAGCCUGAAGGAGAGUCUCUCAGCCCGGUUUGGGAGUAAACCCAAAACCGUUCAUUCGUCAGGGAAUGCCCCAGGAAACCAGGGCGGUCUUCCAAGCGGGCAGCCACGUUGCCUACUUGAGGCCAAGGCAGAAGCAUCAAUCACAUGGGGCGUAGUUUCUGUCUGGCUAAAGAACGGCUCACGCGGACCUCGGGAAUGCGACUGUGGAAACGACGGGGAAGCUGGAAGGGCUGGGUGGCGGGGGAAGCUGGAGGGCACAGCUUCCAGAUUCCAGUUUGUUAAGAAUCACCUGAAGGACGUUUCUCUGAAGGGAAAGUGGGCAUCUGUGAAGGGUUAGAGGCACAUACUUCAACUUUCCCUAGCACAAGAGUGGAAAUCCAUACUCCUUGGGGAGGGACUUUGUCACUGAACCUUAAGAAAAUGGUUACUGGACUGAGCUUGGUUACUUAUGCCUGUAAUCCUGACGUUUUGGUAGAUGGAAGUGGGAGCAUCGAUUGAGGCCAGGAGUUCUAGCCUAGGCAAUGUAGUGAGACUCUCAUCGAAAAGAAAAUAAAAAAAAGAAGAAAGAAUCUCGUGGCUGUCAUUUUUAAUGUUGCUGGUGUGCAGGGAGGCUGUUUUGACUCUUAUUUCCAUUCUUGGGCCACCGGCAGAGCAGGGCAAAGCUAUGAGGUUACAUAGACCUGGCUUAGACCCCAGUCCCAUUCCCCAGCAGCUUCAGGCCCAAGCAACGGUCUCCAUCUCCCUGAACACAGUCUCCUUAUAGGUAAAAUAACUGCAGAGUUGAUGCUGGAAUUAAAUCAAUGCAGUGGCGAGCCCAGCGCUGCAGAGCCCCGUGCUUAGUGACCAAAAUAAUGUCCCGCCUGCCUCAUCUUCCUCUCGGAUUUUUGCCAAGGCCAAACUGCGCGUGUCCCAGAAAAAAACCCUCGGACACUUGGCCUCUGCCCUGUCUCAGCCGAGUGACUAGGAUGACUGGGAAGUGAAUCACAGGAAAAUCACCCAAGCCCACUCUUCUCCACAGCCGGUGAGCAGAAGGAAGGAAGCAAAGAAGGAAGGGAGGAAGGGAAGAAGGGAGAGUUCAGUUCCCUUUCGUCGUUCACACAGUGGUCCUCCACACCAGGAAACCUAAGGGCUCUGUGGAGGGCCAGGUGCCGUGGCAGCAACACUCCUCAGGGCCUGUUUCAGCACCCCAUUUACGUGGCACAUGAAAAAUUCAGGAUGAACGCCCUGGCUGAAAGCUCUUCCUGGGUUUGGGACAUCAGAAGACCUUCCCGGGAUGGGCUCUUGUCUCUGCAGUAGCUAUGACCUGCACAUAAACCUGUUUCCUACACUGUAAAAUUGGCGUAACCACCAUUCCCUCCCAGUCUUUCUCUGGAGUCCUAAUGGGAACAGUGACGGAAUGAAAGUGACCACGCUGGAACCCGAAGCGCUGUUCCCCUCCGUGGCUUCACACUGAUCUCCACACUAGAAUUCCGUGUCUGCAGUUCAAGUUCAAACUACUGUGGUCGGGGAAGGGCUACAGAGAUCUCGCUUGGCCGUGGAGUCACCGGCCCCGUCCAGUCUUGCUUGGGACACAUACUGGUUUACACUCUCUCGGGUUCAGUUUCCUCAUCUGUAAAUGGGGCUCGUAUCCCCCUCAUAAAGUGGUUUGGGGGAUAAUAAAGCUUGUAAAAGCGCUUUGCCCCAGUGCUUGGCACAUAAUACGCGCUACGUUAACAAUGUCGCGUACACGCCCGAACCGGAGGAACCCCAUUCCACGCUCCUUCUGGAACCGAAUUCACCUCUGAGGCUUUGGGGCUUCAGAGCCGGAGCCGCUUGGGCAAAACCAGCAGAACAGCGAGAGGGAACGGGCUGGUCUAGCCCUGCCCUGAGCAUUUCUACUGAGACCCCCGGUCCUGCUUCUUCCAGCCUCUGCUGGAUUUCUCUCCGACCCCUCUGGAGCGAAGCCCUUUGGCCCUGCGUUGCAUGCGGCACGGUGCGGGUUCGGGCUCUGCGCUGGAGCCGGGAUGCCCUCCGGCGGAGGGUGCGCGUAGGCGGCGCCUGGGCGUGAGCCCCGCCUGCAAGGCUCAGCGUCGGGGAAGCACUUUUCUCGUCGACCCGGGGUCUUUUUCCGCCAAGGAGCUCGGGGCUCAAGAACUCGGGACUGGGCUGUGGGCGGGGCAUGGUUUUCCUCUCUGGGCGUCCUAAUCUCCAAUUUCAGGCAAAUUCGCUAGGAAGAACCUUCCCGAGCGCGCCUUCUCCAACAGGACCUCCAAGCCAGCCUCACGCACGCAGGCCUGGCUCUCUCCUGCAGAAUCCCCACCUGCCCUAUAACUACCCACUUCAGAUAUGGGGGAAUGGAGGAGAUAUUCCAAUCACGCCAUCUACCUACAGUUUCCACGGCCCCUUCUGUUGAAUGGUAUUUUCCUUUAGGGUCCCUAGAAGCAGAGCAAAUGAAAAGGCCAGGGGGAAAAAAAAAAAAAAAAGAAAGAACCGGUGAAUUGGCUCUGAGCCCAAUAAACGGUUCCUCUUUCCUUCUCCGGUCCUUUCCCUUCCAACAGAGCGAUUGAGAAAUCAUUUCAAUAAUCAGCAAAUCGGCUGGGAAAUGGAGAACCAGAAGGGAAUGUCCUAUCCAACAGCGCUUUUUCUUCUCUCAAUAGAAGCCCAGUCUUUCAUUUAGAUAUGAAUAUAGCUACUGUGCAUUUCUCCAUUAAUAAAUAUAAAUUUCCAAACUAGGUGGUGAGGGAUAUGAAUUUCCAUGGUACAUUGGGCCCUAGAGACACCAAGAAGCUUCAGGUCAUAAGGGGGUCUAUUCAGGCUAUGUCCAAGCACAACCAAAUUAUGGCAUUAAAAACAAGAGGUCUUGAUUCAGAUCUUUCACGUUUUAAUAACAGAGGGGGAUGCUGCUGAUAUAGAAAAGUGAUUGAAAAUAUUUGUAAACAUAUACUUCUCACUGGACCUCCAGUCAUGUUGGUGGGUGUGGUAGACAGAAUCAAGUACGUCAACUAGCUGUUUUCUGGUUUAGAAACAAAAAAUACCCCCAGCCCCACCCCCACUCUGGAGUCUUUGCUUCUCAACUACGAAAUGGAAAAAAAAGAACUCAAGUCCCAUUUAGACUGUGGGAGCUCAGCCCAUGAAGGGACUGUGGGAAUUGACAUGGAGAGUUUGGGGUGGAGAGGUGGAAGGGUGGAGGAAAUGAGAUCGGCAGCAGACACUGAGUCAGAGGCCUGAGACUAAGGCCUGGCUCUGUGUCCUUGAUAUCCCCAAGCCUCAGUGUUCACAUCUAUAAGAUGAGGAUAAUAUUGAUCUCACAGAACUGCUGUGAAGAAUCAACCACAUAAUAUAUGUGACGAUGGUUUUUCAUUAUCAGCCUUUCCUUGGCCUGGACCAAAUUGAAAGGAGACUGUGGGGCCAGGCAAGGUGGCUUGGAUCAUGCCUGUAAUACUAGCGCUUUAGGAGGCUGAGGCAGGAAGAUCCCUUGAGACCAGGAGUUUGAGACCAGCCUCAGCAACAUAGUGAG
rnacentral:lncRNA from 1 species